UCCGAGUUGACCCCGGCAGUCUUCUACGAGUCCCCGGCAUUAUCCGCUGGCAACAUAGGACGAGGGUUGCGCUCGUUGCGGGACUUAACCCAACAUCUCACGACACGAGCUGACGACAACCAUGCACCACCUGUGCACGGCCCUUACGGACCCCCCAUCUCUGGGAGAUUUCCGUGCAUGUCAAGCCUAGGUAAGGUUCUUCGCGUUGCAUCGAAUUAAACCACACGCUCCGCUGCUUGUGCGGGCCCCCGUCAAUUCCUUUGAGUUUUAACCUUGCGGCCGUACUCCCCAGGCGGUCGACUUCACGCGUUAGCUUCGUUACUGAGAGUGUCAAACCCCCAACAACCAGUCGACAUCGUUUAGGGCGUGGACUAC
rnacentral:misc_RNA from 1 species